AUAAUACUCCCUCCGUCCCAAAAUAAGUGACUCAACUUUGUACUAAAGCUAGUACAAAGUUGAGUCACUUAUUUUGGGACGGAGGGAGUAUGAA
rnacentral:pre_miRNA from 1 species